rnacentral:rRNA from 1 species
UAAUACGAACCGUCCAAACGUUAUUCGGAAUCACUGGGCUUAAAGGGUGCGUAGGCGGUCCGGAAAGUUGGGUGUGAAAUCCCUCGGCUCAACCGAGGAACUGCGCUCAAAACUUCCGGACUCGAGGGAGACAGAGGUGAGCGGAACUUGCGGUGGAGCGGUGAAAUGCGUUGAUAUCGCAAGGAACACCAGUAGCGAAGGCGGCUCACUGGGUCUCUUCUGACGCUGAGGCACGAAAGCUGGGGGAGCGAACGGGAUUAGAUACCCCGGUAGUCCUAGCUGUAAACGUUGAGCACUGGGUUGGAGGCUCCUCCAUAGGCUUCCAGCCGUAGCGAAAGUGUUAAGUGCUCCGCCUGGGGAGUAUGGUCGCAAGGCUG